CACAGGACUUACAUCAUUGCCGAGCUCAUCUGCAUUAACUCCAGACGUUAGGCCCGGUCCCCCACCUCCAGCCGCAGCAACCACAUGACCUGGGAUGCCCUGGAAAGGAAAACCAGGCAGUUUGGAGGAGACAGCGACAAGAAGAGAGGUGCCCGCUUCUGGAUAGCGGCGAUGGUAAUGGUGGGAGUGGGGGCGAGGAUUCUGGUGAGCUUGAUGGCGGUGGUGGUGAUGAGGGAGGGGUGGCCAGGAUUUUGGUGAGGAUGAUGGUGGUGGUGAUGUUAGUAGAGGUGGCGAGGACAGCUGUGAAAUUACUUUAAUAGUGAUGGUGCUGGUGGUGGUGGUGGUGGGGGUGAAGGAUUCUGGUGAGGUAAUUGUGCUUGUGGUGUUGGUGGAGGUGGUGGUGAGGAUAGAGGUUAGCGUUAAUUUGAAGGGGAAUCGUGAUAGCGAGGCGAAGGGCAUCUACUCAUCCGUGAGCCCCAAGGUUACCGGCAACGCAUGUAAGGAUGAGCAUGAGGAGGGUGGAGGUGAUGAGUGAUGAUGAUGACGAUGACGAUAAUAAUUAUAGUAAUGAUAAUAAACAUAAAAAGAGGUGAGAGAAUGUCUGUGUGUGUGUGUGUGUGUGUGUGUGUAGAUUGACAGUAGAUACCUAUGGAGCGUCAACAAACAUAGGAACAGCAUACCACCGCUACCAAUGGCUGGAACGACAACAACAAUUACCACCGCCGCCACCACAACCUCUAGUAGUAGUAGUAGUAGUAGUACUACUACUACUACUACUACUACUACUACUACUACUACU